GAGUGCAACCUGGCCUGAGAGCCCGCCAGGCCCUGCCCCCGCUCGGCUCCUCCUUGCUGGAAGCUCGGGACCUGUAGCCAGUGGCCCUCUGCAGCCACGGGGAAUGGGGCUGAGAGCCGGUUCCCGCCGCAGGGAAGACCACCUAGCUUAGCCGCAGCCACAGGGACAUCUGGCCCCGGUUCUGAGAUGUGGGGAGUGCUGACGGGCUCGGGGGUUGCCUGGAGGCUGCUGCCUGCACACAGAAGACGGCUGCAGCUUGGUGCCCAGGCGGGCUGGAGCAGCAGACCUGUGGAGAGGAAGAGUAAGGCGGGCUCUGCAGGGCAGUGGCCGGGACCAUAAGAGAGGCGGGUCAGUCUGGGCUCCAAGCUCAGCCUCUCGGAUUCCCCGGGACCCCACGGCUUAUAAUGCGCUUAAAUCCCACGCCUCGCCCGAGAGACAGCACUCACCGGUCACCGCCUAGCGCCCCCGACCCGCUCCCACUCUCGCGCAGCGGAGGGUGUGUGAGGGAGAGAGGGACGCAGGAGGGGAAAAGCGUUGAGAGGGCGAACAUCUUUCAUAAGUUUUUCCCCUUCUAUAUGCCAUCUCUGAUGGGAGCCUCUUUAGAUCUUUCGUCCAUUACUAAUUGGGUUGUUGAUUUCUUAUUGUUGAGUUGUAAGUGGUUUUUAAUGGUCUGGAUGCCAGACAGGGUUUUGCAAAUAUUUUCUCCGUCUGUGGCUUGUUUCUCCAUUCUCUAAUAUUUCCUUUCCCAGAGCAAAAGUUUUUAAUUGUAACGACUUCAUACCAUAUCUUCUUUUCAUGGUAGAAAUUUGUCUUUUGUGUACUUUAGUGUUGUAUCUACAAAGUAAUUGCCAAACCCAAAGUUACCUAAAUAUCCCUUUUGUUAUUUUACAGAAGUUUUACAGCUUUUGGAUUUAAAUUAGGUCUAAAAAAUUGAACUCAUAAAAGUAGAGAGUAUAAUGUGCUUACCAGAGGCUGUGUUGCGGGAGAAAAAUGGGAAGUUGUUCACAGGUGCAAAGAUUCAGUUCAACAUGAGAAAUGCGUUUUGAAAUCUAUUGCACAGCAGGAUGACUAUAGUCAAUAAUAAUGUACUGUAAUUUCAAUAACAAAAAGUAAAUUUCAAAUAUCUAACCACAAAAAAUAAAUUGAGGUGAUGGGUAUUUUUUAUUUAUUUUUUUUAUUAUUUAUUUAAUUUAUUUAUUUAUUUUUUUUUUUUUUUGGGAGAAGAGUCUCGCUCUUUCGCCCAGGCUGGACUGCAGUGGCAGGGUCUCGCCUCACUGCAAGCUCCACCUCCUGGGUUCACGCCAUGAGGUGAUGGGAUAUUUUAUCCUCGAUGUAGUCAUUCCUGAUUUAUACACAUAUCCAAGCAUCACAUGUACCCCAUAAAUGUAUGCAAUUGUGGUUUGACAAUUUAAAAUAUUAUUAACUUAAAAAUGUUCCUUCGAGUUAAUUUUUGAGGAGCAAGAUCUGUGUCUCAACUCUUUUUUUGCAUAUAUGUAUAUAUACAUACACGCAAUGGAUCAUCACUGUUUUUGGAAAAAGCUACCCUUUCUCCAUUGAACUGCCUUUACCUUUUUGUAAAAGAUCAAAUUGACUGUGUUUGUGCACUCUUAUUUCUGAGUUCUCUAUUCUGUUCCAUUGAUCACUUUGCCAAGUCCUUGAACUUUGUUCCUUCCCUACAAUAUUGUUGGCUAUCUUGUUAGUCUGUCUUUCUAUAUAAACUUGAGAAUUAGUUUGUCAAUUUCCACACAAUAUUUGUUCAUGUUUUCACGAGAGUGUAAUGAAUUUGUAAAUCACAUUGAAGAGAACUGACAUCUUAACAACACUGGGUCUUAUUUUGUGAAUACAGAUGUCCCUUCAUUUAUUUAGAUCUUUAAUCCCUUUCAACAGAUUUUAUAGUUUUUCUCACAUAGACCCUGCCCAUAUUUUGCUAGAUUGUGUCUAUUUCAUUUUCUUGAUGCUAAUGAAAAUGGUACUGGGCUUUUAAUUUCAAAUUCUCAUUGUUCAUUGCUGGAUGUGGGAAGCAAUGAUUUUGCAUAUUAACCUUAUACUGUGCAACCUUGCUAUAAUCCAGAAGGGUUUUGGCUGAUGCUUUGAGAUUCUCUAUAUAGAAAAUAGAAAUCAGGUUAUCAGCAAGCAAAGGGCAUUUUAAUGCUCCCUUUCAAUCUGUAUACCUUUUAUUUUAUUAUCUUGUCUUAUUGCAUUAGCUAGGAUUUUAGUAUGAUGUUGAAUAGGAGCAGUGAGAGAGGAUAACAUUUCCUUGCUUCUUUUGUGUAAAACAUCCCCAUUUUUCACAUUAUGUAUGAUAUUGUCUGUAGGGUGUUCUUUUGGUUAUGUUCUUUAUCAGUUGAGGAAUUUCCCUUCUAUUUCUAAUUUGCUGAGAGUUUUAACCAUGAAUGGGCUUUGGAUUCUAUAAAAUGCUUUCUUGAUCUAUUAAUAUAAUCAAAUAACUUUUCUUCUUUAGCUAGUUAUCUGAGGGAUUGCCUAACAUUUUGUGUUAAGCCAGGCUUGCAUACCUGAAAUAAAUCUCACUUGGUCUUGGUGCGUAAUUCAACAAUGUAUUGCUAGAUUCAGCAUGCUGAUAUUUUGUUGAGAAUUUUGAUGAGAGAGAUUUGUCUGAACAUUUUCUUUAAAUGUCUUUUUUGCUUUUGGUAUUAGAACUUCAUAAAUGAGUUGGGAUAUGUUCCUUUUGCUUCUGUUUCUGGUAGCAAUUGUAAAUAAUUGGUAUCUUUCUUCCUUAAGUGUUUCAUAUAAUUCGCUAGUGAAACAUCUAGGCCUGUUGCUUUCUUUCUUGGAAGGUUGUUAAUUAUUCAUAUAUUCUAUACUAGAUAAAGAGUUAUUCGAAUUA
rnacentral:antisense_RNA from 1 species